rnacentral:rRNA from 1 species
UACAGAGGUCUCAAGCGUUGUUCGGAUUCAUUGGGCGUAAAGGGUGCGUAGGCGGCGCGGUAAGUCGGGUGUGAAAUCUCGGGGCUUAACUCCGAAACUGCAUUCGAUACUGCCGUGCUUGAGGACUGGAGAGGAGACUGGAAUUUACGGUGUAGCGGUGAAAUGCGUAGAUAUCGUAAGGAAGACCAGUGGCGAAGGCGGGUCUCUGGACAGUUCCUGACGCUGGAGGCACGAAGGUCAGGGGGAGCAAAACGGG